AUGUUCCCAAAAUGUUCCCAAAAAAUUCCCAAAAAAUUCCCAGAUUCCCAAAAAAAUUCCCCAAAAAAUUCUCCAGAGAAUUCCCAAAACAUUCCCAGAGAAUUCCCAAAAAACUCCCAAAAUAUUCCCAAAGAAUUCCCAAAAAUUAACAGAGAAUUCCCAAAAUGUUCCCAAAAAAUUCCCCAAAAAUUCCCCAGAGAAUUCCCAAAAAACUCCCAAAAAUUCCCCAAAAAAUUCCCCAAAAAACUCCCAAAAAUUCCCCAAAAAUCCCCAAAACAUUCCCAAAACAUUCCCCAAAAAUUCCCAAAGAAUUCACAAAAAAUUCCCAAAAAAUUCCCCAAAAAUUCCCAAAAAAAUUCCCCAGAGAAUUCCCAAAAAAUUCCCAAAAAUUCCCAAAACAUUCCCCAAAAAAAUUCCCAAAAAAAUCCCCAAAAAUACCCAAAAAUUCCCAAAAAAAUCCCAAAACAUUCCCAAAAAAUUCCCAAAAAAUUCCCAAAAAUUCCCAAAACAUUCCCAAAAAACUCCCAAAAAAUUCCCAAAGAAUUCCCAAAAUGUUCCCAAAACAUUCCCAGAGAAUUCCCAAAACAUUCCCANNNNNNNNNNNNNNNNNNNNNNNNNNNNNNNNNNNNUGCAGAGUGCUGAUGAUGUCGGUCUGGGUGAUACUGGUCAUCUGACUGAGUAAACCGUGAGUAACCUGUGAGUAACCUGUGAGUAACCUGUGAGUAACCUCCGACCCAUCACUGCUCCACCCCGGGUUACUGUCAGUGACCGUGUUCAGCGACUGCAGGGUGCUGAUGAUGUCGGUCUGGGUGAUACUCGUCAUCUGACUAACCAUGAGUAAACCAUGAGUAACCUCUGAGUAACCUGUGAGUAACCCCUGAGUGACAACAGCCACCCCUGGGUUACUGUCAGUGACCGUGUUCAGGGACUGCAGGGUGCUGAUGAUGUCGGUCUGGGUGAUACUGGUCAUCUGACUAACCAUGAGUAACCUGUUAGUAACCUCUGAGUAACCUCAGAGUAACCUCAGAGUGAUCACUGCUCCACCCCGGGUUACUGUCAGUGACCGUGUUCAGCGACUGCAGGGUGCUGAUGAUGUCGGUCUGGGUGAUACUCGUCAUCUGACUGAGUAAACCGUGAGUAACCUGUGAGUAACCUCUGAGUAACCUGUGAGUAACCUCAGAGUAACCUCAGAGUGAUCCCUGACCCAGCCUGGGUUACUGUCAGUGACCGUGUUCAGGGACUGCAGGGUGCUGAUGAUGUCGGUCUGGGUGAUGCUGGUCAUCUGACUGAGUAAACCGUGAGUAACCUGUGAGUAACCUGUGAGUGACCCCUGAGUGACCUCUGGGUGACCACUGAUCACUUCCAGCCCCCAGUGCCCUACACUGCCUUUAUCCAUACUGGUUUAUACUGGUUUAUACUGGUUUCUAUGGAUUUCUAUGGGAAUUUUUGGCUCCGUACUGGUUUAUACUGGUUUGAACUGGUUCUUACUGGUCCCACCUGAGGUCCUUGAUGGAGAGGGUCCCCCGGAAGUCCCUGAGGAACCAGGGCAGUCACUGGUUUAUACUGGUUUAUACUGGUUUAUACUGGUUUAUACUGGUUUCCAUGGAUUUCCAUGGAUUUCUAUGGGGAUUUUUGGCUCUAU
rnacentral:lncRNA from 1 species